rnacentral:rRNA from 1 species
GACGAACCGUGCGAACGUUAUUCGGAAUCACUGGCUUAAAGCGCGUGUAGGCGGCCCGGCACGUCCGUCGCUGAAAUCCCCCGGCUCAACCGGGGAAGUGGCGUGGAUACGACCGGGCUGGAGGGGGGUAGGGGGAGCCGGAACUUCCGGUGGAGCGGUGAAAUGCGUUGAGAUCGGAAGGAACGCCCGUGGCGAAAGCGGGCUCCUGGACCCCACCUGACGCUGAGACGCGAAAGCCAGGGGAGCGAACGGG